UACGAAGGGGGCUAGCGUUGUUCGGAUUUACUGGGCGUAAAGCGCACGUAGGCGGGUCGUUAAGCCGGGGGUGAAAUCCUGGAGCUCAACUCCAGAACUGCCUUCGAUACUGGCGACCUAGAGUCCGGAAGAGGUGAGUGGAACUCCUAGUGUAGAGGUGAAAUUCGUAGAUAUUAGGAAGAACACCAGUGGCGAAGGCGGCUCACUGGCCCGGUACUGACGCUGAGGCGCGAAAGCGUGGGGAGCAAACAGG
rnacentral:rRNA from 1 species